AUCCAGAUGACGAGUCCCAGAAAUGGGACGAAGUCCGCAUCCUGGAU
rnacentral:hammerhead_ribozyme from 1 species